AUUGAACGCUGGCGGCAUGCCUUACACAUGCAAGUCGAACGGUAACAGGUCUUCGGAUGCUGACGAGUGGCGAACGGGUGAGUAAUGCAUCGGAACGUGCCCAGUAGUGGGGGAUAGCCCGGCGAAAGCCGGAUUAAUACCGCAUACGACCUGAGGGGGACAGGGGGGGAUCGCAAGACCUCUCGCUAUUGGAGCGGCCGAUGUCAGAUUAGCUAGUUGGUCGGUAAAGGCUUACCAAGGCAACGAUCUGUAGUUGGUCUGAGAGGACGAACAGCCACACUGGGACUGAGACACGGCCCAGACUCCUACGGGAGGCAGCAGUGGGGAAUUUUGGACAAUGGGCGCAAGCCUGAUCCAGCAAUGCCGCGUGCAGGAAGAAGGCCUUCGGGUUGUAAACUGCUUUUGUCAGGGAAGAAAUCUUCUGGGUUAAUACCUCGGGAGGAUGACGGUACCUGAAGAAUAAGCACCGGCUAACUACGUGCCAGCCGCCGCGGUAACAC
rnacentral:rRNA from 1 species